UACGUAGGGGCCGAGCGUUGUCCGGAGUUAUUGGGCGUAAAGCGCGCGCAGGCGGCCUCGCGCGCCCGACGUGAAAGCCCCCGGCUUAACCGGGGAGGGUCGUUGGGGACGGCGGGGCUUGAGGGCGGGAGAGGUCGGCGGAAUUCCCGGUGUAGUGGUGAAAUGCGUAGAGAUCGGGAGGGAACACCUGUGGCGAAGGCGGCCGACUGGGCCGACCCUGACGCUGAGGUGCGAAAGCGUGGGGAGCAAACAGG
rnacentral:rRNA from 1 species